AGAGUUUGAUCAUGGCUCAGGAUGAACGCUGGCGGCGUGCCUAAUACAUGCAAGUCGAACGAGGUGCUUUUGUAGCAAUACGAGAGUAUCCUAGUGGCGAACGGGUGAGUAACGCGUUGGUGACCUACCCCAAAGUGUGGGAUAACAGUCCGAAAGGAUUGCUAAUACCGCAUGUGGUUAUUGGAUUUAGAAACCGGUAACUAAAGGAGCAAUUCGCUUUGGGAGGGACCUGCGUCCCAUCAGCUAGUUGGUGAGGUAAUGGCUCACCAAGGCGACGACGGGUAGGGGACCUGAGAGGGUGACCCCCCACAAUGGAACUGAAACACGGUCCAUACACCUACGGGUGGCAGCAGUAGGGAAUAUUGCUCAAUGGGCGAAAGCCUGAAGCAGCAACGCCGCGUGUGUGAUGAAGGCCUUCGGGUCGUAAAGCACUUUUCUGGGAGAUGAGAAAGGACAGUAUCCCAGGAAUAAGUCUCGGCUAACUACGUGCCAGCCGCCGCGGUAAUAC
rnacentral:rRNA from 1 species